rnacentral:rRNA from 1 species
AACGAACGCUGGCGGCGUGCCUAACACAUGCAAGUCGAGCGGGAAAGUUCCCUCGGGGAGCGAGUACAGCGGCGAACGGGUGAGUAACACGUAGGUAACCUACCCUUGAGACUGGGAUAACCUGCCGAAAGGCGGGCUAAUACUGGAUAAGACCGUGAGGGCUGCGGCCCUUGGGGGAAAAGGUGGCCUCUGCUUGCAAGCUACUACUUGAGGAUGGGCCUGCGCGCCAUUAGCUAGUUGGGAGGUAACGGCUCACCAAGGCUGGGAUGGCUAGCUGGUCUGAGAGGAUGGCCAGCCACACUGGGACUGAGACACGGCCCAGACUCCUACGGGAGGCAGCAGUGGGGAAUAUUGCGCAAUGGGCGAAAGCCUGACGCAGCGACGCCGCGUGGGUGAUGAAGGCCUGGUCGUAAG